rnacentral:rRNA from 1 species
AAACCAUGGCGCAGGCCUAACACAUGCAAGUCGAGCGCACCUUCGGGUGAGCGGCGGACGGGUUAGUAACGCGUGGGAACGUGCCCUACUCUAAGGAAUAGCCUCGGGAAACUGAGAGUAAUACCUUAUACGCCCUACGGGGGAAAGAUUUAUCGGAGAAGGAUCGGCCCGCGUUAGGUUAGAUAGUUGGUGGGGUAACGGCCUACCAAGUUUACGAUCUAUAGCUGGUUUGAGAGGAUGAUCAGCAACACUGGGACUGAGACACGGCCCAGACUCCUACGGGAGGCAGCAGUGGGGAAUCUUGGACAAUGGGCGCAAGCCUGAUCCAGCCAUGCCGCGUGAGUGACGAAGGCCUUAGGGUCGUAAAGCUCUUUCGCCAGGGAUGAUAAUGACAGUACCUGGUAAAGAAACCCCGGCUAACUCCGUGCCAGCAGCCGCGGUAAUACGGAGGGGGUUAGCGUUGUUCGGAAUUACUGGGCGUAAAGCGCACGUAGGCGGAUUAGAAAGCUAGAGGUGAAAUCCCAGGGCUCAACCCUGGAACUGCCUUUAGAACUACUAGUCUAGAGUUCGAGAGAGGUGAGUGGAAUUCCAAGUGUAGAGGUGAAAUUCGUAGAUAUUUGGAGGAACACCAGUGGCGAAGGCGGCUCACUGGCUCGAUAC